rnacentral:rRNA from 1 species
GUAGGGUGCAAGCGUUAAUCGGAAUUACUGGGCGUAAAGCGUGCGCAGGCGGUUUUGUAAGACAGUGGUGAAAUCCCGGGGCUCAACCUGGGAACUGCCAUUGUGACUGCAAGGCUGGAGUGCGGCAGAGGGGGAUGGAAUUCCGCGUGUAGCAGUGAAAUGCGUAGAUAUGCGGAGGAACACCGAUGGCGAAGGCAAUCCCCUGGGCCUGCACUGACGCUCAUGCACGAAAGCGUGGGGAGCAAACGGGAUUAGAUACCCUGGUAGUCCACGCCCUAAACGAUGUCAACUGGUUGUUGGGGAUUUAUUUUCUCAGUAACGAAGCUAACGCGUGAAGUCGACCGCCUGGGGAGUACGGCCGCAAGGUUA